UACGUAGGGUGCUAGCGUUGUUCGGAAUCAUUGGGCGUAAAGCGCGUGUAGGCGGUCAACUAAGUCGGGUGUGAAAUCCCUGGGCUCAACCGAGGAAGUGCACUCGAAACUGGUUGGCUGGAAGACGGUAGAGGAAGGUGGAAUUCCUAGUGUAGAGGUGAAAUUCGUAGAUAUUAGGAGGAAUACCGGUGGCGAAGGCGGCCUUCUGGACUGUUCUUGACGCUGAGACGCGAAAGCGUGGGUAGCAAACAGG
rnacentral:rRNA from 1 species